CCCUGGGUGGUGCAAAUGGUUAACACGCUCCACUGCUAAGGGAAAGGUUGAUGGUUUGAGUCCAUCUAGAGGCA
rnacentral:tRNA from 1 species